GCUGUGCUGUGCUGUGUGUAUGUAUGAGUGUAACUGGUAUAUUCUCUUCUCUAUGUAUCUACUCGGACUAUGCGAUGAUCAGCACCACACGCUACUCUGAAAUGCAAGCAACGUAAUUUAAAUUACACAAAACUCGGCUACCUUGUUAAUCGUCGUUUGAUAUGCGUCUUUGAAUACCGCUCUCAUCGUUCAUAGAUUCGUUCCGCCGAUUAUUGAGACUCCUUCUUUUUUUUCCCGAGCUACUUUGAGCUUUUUGAGUGGCGAAAGUGCGCUUUUUUCAACGAGUGACGUCGUCAAAUGCGCGGAAAAUAAUUUUUAAACACGUUUACAAAUGCAAGGAUUACAUGUUCAUAUGAAUUUCAAUCGUUCGAAAAAUGGGUUCUGCAAAUAAAAUCAUCGCGAGGACGGUUUUGAGUUUUGGGAUCAUUUUCUUCAUUCACGUUUGCUCGGGUAUAGGCAACCCAAACAACACAUCUCAUCCGUAUCCGAAGAAAUACUGUUCCGAAUCGAGUCCACCAAAUCCCCCUCGAAUAUUUCCAAACGCAUCACUAAACGAAAUGGACCCACCGGUGAUAGAUUACAACAACAGCAUAUUCAACUCAACGAAGCUUUGUUGGCCGGAUGUCGCCAAAGCUUACUGGGGCACAGUACUGCAUCACGAUCCGAAAUACACCGGUAAACAUCACCAAAAGUUGCGGGCCAGAUUCAGAGAGUUGAAUGAUAUCUUCGUAGAUCAUAUUAGAAUGAUGAUCCUCACUAGCGAUGAAAUCAGAGGUUUAUUAUACUAUAACAGCACCCAAGAAGAAAUUAUGGAAGCUAAAAAUAAAACCAACGCGCAGGAAUCUGCGGCAACGAGUCAAAAAAAAGAGAAUAUUACAGCGGAGGGUUCGAAAAACUGCAGUUGUUCUCAAAAUAGAGCUACUGACAGCGGUAAUAAUAAUACAAAUACGGAAGUUCUUCAGGAUGACUCGACCAGGUCGAUUACGGUGCCGAUGCUUUUGAUAGUGAUUUUGGUAUUGCUGACGUACAUCGCUUUCCUGUACAGAAAAUUACAAUUCGCAAAAGUGAACUCUUACGUUUACACCUACCACAAGUAUUAAUUAAAUACAAGAAGAACUUCAACUUUACUAAGAAUUCAGAAACCAUCAGGUCUCACAAUUACGAGCCGAACGACUCAGGCGUUAUAAAGAUGCUCAAAUUUUAGUCCAGGAUGAAUUAAUAGACCCUUGGGCGACCAGAUGAAAACCGCAGAUACACAGAAACCCGAUUAUUAUAAAAACUCGCGUGUACAAGUUAUAAUUAACUUAAGUAGAAAUUUUUUUCAUCUUCGUUUUACUUACUCGUAAUAAUGGACAGUGAAAAAUUUCAUUUUCGAUUUUUCCAGUAAUUUAGAUGGAUUUUUUUCCCUCCUCGUGUACCGGAAUUUUGAAACCGGUUUCACUUUCCCCCUCUUCAUUUCAGCAUUGUCAAAAUUUCAACCAAUUUGAAUACUCGUCUAAUGCAAACAAGUACCUUAUUUUAUAUUUUUCUAUCUUUUAUACAAUGCUAUAGUGCUAGUGUUUUUUUUAUUGGUUGUUUUUUUAUUGGGUAACUUUUUUUCAGUGUUUAUUUUCUAUUUAUUUUUCUCUUUUUUUUUAAUUUAUUUUUUAUUUUAAGUUUCUUUUUAUGUAAGUUUGUACCUAAUACCAUGUACGAAUAUUUAUCUAGUUUUAAGAAUAGAGUCGAAUGAGACUUCUUUUUUUAAUAGA